ACUCCCUUGGACGCGGAUUAGUCAGCCGUCUGGUCCGCCGCGUGCCGUGGGCGGCUCGGCUGGGGCUGGACCGGGACGCUUCUCUUCUCCGCGACCGCGGCGUUGGACGGAGCAAUCGAGGUGGGGAGAGAAACCGCGGCCGCCCACGCCCGCGUGAUCGAGCGGAACCACCAGCCGCGCACGCCAUGGCAGCAGCUGGUAAUCCACCUCCAAAACCGUGGGAACGUGCAGGAGCUUCAUCUGGCUCAGUGCCUUUUAAGCCGCCCUCUGGUGGUAGCACCAGUGAUGUUGUUGAAGCUUCUGGGACAGCAAAACAUGGAGAGGUUGUUUCUGCUGCUGGGAACAAUGUUGCCUCAAAUGUAAACAGCAACAUUUCAACGCCUGUGCCCCCAAGGCCUUGGCAGCAGCAAGGCUAUGGAAACUCUUAUGGGGGUUAUGGCUCUAGUAUGUAUAGCUCUUACGGCGGAUAUAGUGGACCCUAUGGAAAUAACAUGUAUUCAGGUUAUGGAGGAGGUUAUGGCAGCAGUAUGUAUGGUGGUUCUGGAAUGUAUGGUGGAUCAAUGUAUAACAGUGGAAUGGGAGGACCCUAUGGUGGUUAUGGUAUGGGCAUGAGUCCUUAUAAUCAGGGAGCAAAUUCAUUUGGGCCGCCUGCACCACCCCCUGGUUUCUGGAUGUCCUUCCUACGAGUGAUGCAUGGUGUUGUAAAUUUCUGUGGGAGGGUUAGCUUCCUUAUUAGCCAGAACACUCAGGCAUUUCACAUGUUCAUUACUGCAUUUUUGCAGUUAUGUGAUCGGGCUGGAAUGCUUUAUGGCGAGCUUGCAAGAUUUGUUCUACGUUUGCUGGGGAUCAAAACAAAACCGAAGAAGGGUGGUGUUAAGGGCGCAGGAGCUCCAUCAUCAGAAGGACGAGGCCAGCAGUUUGUUGAGGCACCGAAAGCUAACUCCUCAUGGGACAGCGUCUGGACUGAGGAUGGCAAGGGGAAGUAAGGGCCUGUUUGGGUGCAGUGAGGCUGGUUUUGUGAAAGGAGGAUGAGUUUGCUUGUGGAAGAGAAAUCUGCCAGUAUGUGUUCGGAUGCAUUUUGCAUUUGGAUAGAAGGCAAAAACAACAGGCGAUCAAACUGAUCAUGAGGUUCUGCGGUCAAAGAGCCUACCAGUUGAGGUAGUUUUCUGGGAUUAACUGUUACGUGAAGUUGAGGCUUUGAUUGACAACUGGAGAGCGUCAUGUUUUCUGUUUUUUUUUCAUACAUAUAUAUAUGGAGGAAUGGAGGAUAACAUAAUUGGUCGCCAAUGUAUAUUCUGGUGACUCCGGAGGUUUUGCUGUGGCUCGUGCAACAGUAUUGUUCUCGUGGGGCAUACGGUUCACCCCUUGAGUAUAUGUGCUGGUUAGUGAAACUGAAAAAAUGUAGAGAAAAUAUAUAGUGUUGGUUGUGAACUGUUUUGUCUUGUUCAUCGUC